rnacentral:rRNA from 1 species
AUUGAACGCUGGCGGCAGGCCUAACACAUGCAAGUCGAACGGAUAAGGGGAGCUUGCUCCUGGAUUCAGCGGCGGACGGGUGAGUAAUGCGUAUGAAUCGGCCUUGUAUUGGGGGUUAACUUCGGAAAACGGGCGCUAUUACCGCAUACGUCCUGAGGGGGAAGGUGGGGGAUCUUCGGACCUCACGCUAUCGGAUGAACCUAGGGCGGAUUAGCUAGUUGGUGGGGUAAAGGCCUACCAAGGCGACGAUGCGUAACUGGUCUGAGAGGAUGAUCAGUCACACUGGAACUGAGACACGGUCCAGACUCCUACGGGAGGCAGAAGUGGGGACGAUUGGACAAUGGGCGAAAGCUUGCUCCAGCCAUGCCGCGUGUGUGAAGCAGGUCUUCGGAUUGUAAAGCACCUUACGUUGGGAGGACGGCUAGUAAGUUAAUACCUUGUUGUUUUGACGUUACCAACAGAAUAAGCACCGGCUAACUUCGUG